rnacentral:rRNA from 1 species
CGGCCGCGUCGACAGGUGGUGCAUGGUUGUCUUCAGCUCGUGUCGUGAGAUGUUGGGUUAAGUCCCGCAACGAGCGCAACCCUUAUCCUUAGUAGCCAGCGGUUUGGCCGGGCACUCUGGGGAUACUGCCAGGGAUAACCUGGAGGAAGGUGGGGAUGACGUCAAAUCAUCAUGCCCCUUAUGAUUUGGGCUACACACGUGCUACAAUGGCGUAAACAAAGGGAAGCGAUCACGUGAGUGUGAGCAAAUCUCAAAAAUAACGUCCCAGUUCGGACUGUAGUCUGCAACCCGACUACACGAAGCUGGAAUCGCUAGUAAUCGCAGGUCAGCAUACUGCGGUGAAUACGUUCCCGGGUCUUGUACACACCGGUCGACGCGGCCG